rnacentral:rRNA from 1 species
AGUGAACGCUGGCGGUAGGCCUAACACAUGCAAGUCGAACGGCAGCACAGUAAGAGCUUGCUCUUACGGGUGGCGAGUGGCGGACGGGUGAGGAAUACAUCGGAAUCUACUUUUUCGUGGGGGAUAACGUAGGGAAACUUACGCUAAUACCGCAUACGACCUACGGGUGAAAGCAGGGGAUCUUCGGACCUUGCGCGAUUGAAUGAGCCGAUGUCGGAUUAGCUAGUUGGCGGGGUAAAGGCCCACCAAGGCGACGAUCCGUAGCUGGUCUGGGAGGACGAUCAGCCACACUGGAACUGAGACACGGUCCAGACUCCUACGGGAGGCAGCAGUGGGGAAUAUUGGACAAUGGGCGCAAGCCUGAUCCAGCCAUACCGCGUGGGUGAAGAAGGCCUUCGGGUUGUAAAGCCCUUUUGUUGGGAAAGAAAAGCAGCAGGUUAAUACCCCACUGUUCUGACGGUACCCAAAGAAUAAGCACCGGCUAACUUCGUG